UACGUAGGGGGCAAGCGUUGUCCGGAAUUACUGGGCGUAAAGGGCGCGUAGGCGGCCUUCUAAGUCAGACGUGAAAUCCCCCGGCUUAACCUGGGAACUGCGUCUGAUACUGGGAGGCUAGAGUGCGGGAGAGGGAUGCGGAAUUCCAGGUGUAGCGGUGAAAUGCGUAGAUAUCUGGAGGAACACCGGUGGCGAAGGCGGCAUCCUGGACCGACACUGACGCUGAGGCGCGAAAGCUAGGGUAGCAAACGGG
rnacentral:rRNA from 1 species